UGUAACUUGGGAAUAAUAGCACCUGACAGGGUCGUUGUGGGAUUGAGUUAAUGCAGGUCAAGUACUUGGCCCAGUGCGCAGCACAUAGUAGGGCGUCGGGAGAGGAUCGUCACUGCUUUAUUAGCGUGUAUCAAAGUGGUGCUGUAACUCCAUCUUCCCACACACAUUUAUAGAGCAGCUUCAUCGAACCAGGCACUGUGCUAGGGACCAUGGGGUCCUCAGGGCGACUACUGAGUGCUUCUUGUCCCCUAGGAGCUGCUGACAGUCUGGGUGAGGAUCUAAAGAAGCCAUAUACAACAAAUUUAGUGAGCAAGGCAAGCUGGUGGGAAGAGGAAGUCAUGGAACUUGGUUUUAAAGCAUAGGAUGACUUUGAAGGGAAAGGCUGUGGUGGUUAGGGAAGGCUUCCUGGAGAAGGUGAGGUUCAGGCUCUGGUCUCGUCCACUGUGUCCUGUUCAGUGCCCUGAGCUUGUAACAAGGCCUCACUGAGGCAUGCUCUUGGUGAGUGGCCCUGGCCAUGUGCCCAGGGUCUGGACAGAGGCUCCUGGGAGGAAGAAGAGAGGGGCAAGUGUCCAUGGCUAGGCUGGAGUUUGGGAGGGCUGGGAAGACCUCAGCUCUUCACCUGCUCCAGGACCUCAGGCCCAGAGAAAAGACAGGUCAGACCCAGGUGUUUGACGCCUUGUGGGCCUGGCUGGGAGGCUGCUCUGCUGAGGGGUGGAUAGCCAGCCCCUCCGACUAGGUGCCCACUGUGGGCUUUGUCCUACUGCACAGGCAUGGGAAGACCCUCUCCUCGUCUCAGGGAUUCCAUCUGGUUUUUAUUUUCAUGUGUAGCAGUGACGAAUGUUACCACAAAACCCGAAAAAGGCAAGAGAAACAUACCUCCUCCCAGAAUGGGAAGUUUCAUCGCUUCGUGUCCACACUGCCUGGCUGAUGGAAUUUGACAUUCUGAGCUCGUUAGCACUCAGAACUAGAGUCCCUUACAGCAGCAGCUUGCCAUGGGGAGGUCACAGAGGGGCUUUCACUUUGGCGUCAGUGAGAGUUUGGCUUCCAGGGAGAAGCUGUCCAGCGGGACUGACCCCCCAUCCCGAGGCUUCUCCUUCUGCUCAGCUGAGGCCCAGCCAGGCUGUGCAUCCCCUUCUCGAGGGAGGAGGGCCUUCCUGGGUCCCGGAGGGCAGUCAUGGACCCUCCUUCCCCUUUCAUCUCCCAGGUUAAGACUCCGGAUUGUCAGAGUUGGAUGAGAUGCCAGCAAGUCCUACUCCAGAAAUCUGCAGGUGGGGAAACUGAGGCCCAGGGAGUAGAGGGAUUUGCUCAAAGUCACUCAGCGUGUCGGGAGAGCAGUUGCCAAUAAGAGCGUGGGCCCUGAAAGCAGAAAGAUGAGGCUGCGAGCCUCGUGCUGCCCUUCACUGGCUGCGUGACCUUGGACAGCAAAUGCCCUCAACUCGUAGGACUGCAGAGGGGACUGAGAGAACAUGUCUAAAGUGCCCAGCACUGCCUGGCACAGACUGAAGGCUCACCACAUGCUAGUUAUUGCUGUUCUUCUUGAUGUGGUUAUUGUCCUUAAGCCCAGAACUCUGUAUUUGCAGCAUGGCCUGUUAAUUCACUGGAAGGACUUUUCUCUGCCUUGGUGAUCUGCCCAGCAAAAGUCUAACAGCCUAUCUGUGCUAGCUUUGUCCUGUGGCCUGGAGCUAAAUCAUAGAGGCCUCCCGAGACCGGGCCACAGGCAGGCAGAGCUUUAGUAGGAGAGAAAAUGCUCCCUGUGGGCAGCGGCACAUGUCAUUAUUGUCAUCACCCGGCCUAGCUGGGUUCCAGAAUACUCCUACUGAAUGAAUGAAGGAUGGAAGGUUUGCCUGUUGAUUUCUCCAGACCCGGGCCACCUUUGGAGCUUGCCUCUAAGGCAGAAAGCAUGAAUUUUGGAGCCAGCUGGCCUGUUUCUUCAUCUGCAGAAGGGGUCAUGUUUGUCCUGAAGGACGCAGUGGGAGGGUGUGUGCAGAGCAUUUGGCACAAGGCAGGUGAUUCUGCAACAGAAGCUGCUACUGGGGCUCAUCCCCUCUCCACCAGCACAGGCACGCACCUCCUUCUACCCCGUUCCUCCAGCCCUUUGGACAGGCGGAACACGCAUUCCUACUCCCACUGUGCAGCAGAGGAAACUAAGGCCCCGAGAAGGUAAGUGACUUGCCCAAGUAACCAUCAGCAAAGCCAGGGCCUCAGGCCAAACCUCUGGGCUGCCCGGCCAUCCUCCUGCUCGUACGGGGCUUCCGGUUCGGCAGGCUGACAAAAACAGGGCUGAAAGGAAGCAAGUCAGCAGUUUCUCAGCCCUUCUCUUCUCCUGCCCUGGGUGAUCCGUUGCGUUUUCCUCUUCCAAGGCAGAAGCAGCCCUUCGGGUGAGAGUGUAUUGGGUUUCCACCCACUAGAUCUGGCUCUAGCUUUUAGCAGGGCUCCAGGAAAAACGGAAGGGGUCCUGGACCACAGGAUGGGCGACGUGAGCAGGGGCCUGUGACCCCAGGCCGGGGGUCCUGUUUAGGCCGGCUUGCAGGUAAGAUGUGCAGGAUUUGCUCCCUGAGCGCCUCUCACGCAGCCCCUGCCACCUGGCCCAGCGUCCUGGUGAUUAGGACUUAAUGAGCUGGCUGCAGGGAGCUCAGCGGCUGGGGCCGUUCCUCCAGGCCCGCGGAAUGCACCUCCACCCCAGUUGGGCCUCUGAGUUUUGUGUUUCAAGCCAACCUGCUCCUUGUAUAUCUAUGUGGAACCAGCAAGCCCCCCAGAGCAUUUUAUCGGGUUAUUCUGAAUUAGGAGUUUUAACAGCCUGCAGUGCAAAUGUAGAAGUCUUUAAGGAGAGAGAAUAAAUGAAGUUGGCCUGGGGGGAGUGCGCAGGGGAGGAAGGAGGAAAUCCCAGGCUGAGUUUUGGAAUAGCGCUUGAUUAUGUUGGUGACAGCAGGCUGCAUCUUCCAGGACAGGAGUCCCCCUGUGGUUUACAAAACACUUUGCCACACGUAAUUCUAUUUAAACCACCCAACCACCCUGAGAGAUAGCGAAGGUUUGUUUGCUUUAUUAUCUUGAUUUUACAGAUGGUGAAUCUGGAGCUCAGAGAGGUGCUGAGACUUGCUCAAGAUCACACAGCAAAGAACAGGCAGGGCUGGGAUUCCGGGCCAAGGCUGGUGUCUCUUCCUGACACGACAGUAUUACCCCAAAGUCUUUGUUUUCCAUUCUCAAGUUCAACAUCAGUGGUGGAGCUGUAGCGGGGGCUGCCGAAGCUCCGCCCAGAUCCACAGGGCCCCUUUAUCCUCUUGGUGUGACCACUGCCCGCUUCUGUGCGCUUUGCUUCCAAUGGCCCUCGCCUGCAACCUUCUUCAGGAGGCGACCCUUGGGCCCUUGGAGCCAUUGGCCCAGACACAGGGCUGACCGUGCCUGUGUUCACUGGGGUCCAUCGCCAAUGGCUGACGGGAACCAGAGCAUUAAGCCCAGCUCCCUCACCUCGAGGCAGGACAAACUCUGAGUUGUGAUUUACCCUCCAGAGCUCCUCGUGCGCUCAGGCUGGUCCUAGGACUUCGCCUGGGAUGGGAUGGCACCUUGCUUGGUUUCUCUCUCUUCCCUGUCCUGCUCCACCCACUCCCUCCCUCCAGUCUCCCCUGGGAGCACUUCCUUAAUACAUCCAUUAUAAAUAAAUUCUCACUUCAACGUCUGCUUCUGAAUGUGACCUAAGACAGGCGCUGACCAAGGGCUCCAGCAUCAAGAUUGCAAAAAGAGACGGGAUCAGAGAGGGAGGGGACGCUCCUUUGCUAAAAUCUGACCUUCGAGGGGAGCCCUUAGUGAAGCUGUGGCCAGCCACGGAGGUGGGGAAGAAGUCAUCUGAGAAUGUGCUGGAAUCUAUUUGCAAAUGAGCUGUGAUCUUAAAGGACUGAGGUCUCGUCCUCUCCUCUGAAUGACAGAAGUGGGAGCUUGGGGAGUGAGUCCUGGCUCUGGCCAGGGGCACAAACCUGCUGCGUGCUGCCUUGGAUCUGAGACAGAGGUUAGCAUGCAGGACAUCUGCUAGAGGUAGAUUCUUAGGAACAAAACCUACAAAGGAGUGAGGAAAGCAGGAUUGGGCUGAGAGAGAUGGGAUUGCGAUGCAAUUGUAUCAGAGCUCCCAGGGGAUCCCACGGAGACCUCUGGGGCUGGGAGGGCCCUGAGAGACGUCCUCAAUCAAGGCCAGGGGCUGGGGUCUCAUACUCCUGCCAGGACUCCAGAUGAGGACAAGUUCUGGAGAAGGGCUCAGCUGUGAGGGCUCUCAGCUGCAGAGCAGAGCAGACACUUGUUGACUGACCGUUGACCUGUUCCCACCUGGCGUUUUCUUGUCACUGUUUCGUCCGAUCUUUGAGGAGAGAAGUUGUAGAAAGGAAACCUGUCUGCUUUCAGUUUCAUUUAAGUCCACGUAGAUUUCCUGAGGACUUCCUGUGUGCUGAGCCUUUAUAGGCCCUGUGGAGGACCGAGAGAUGAAGAAGUCAGGGUCCUCACGGAACUUCAGUCCAGCUGGAGAGACACAGCUUUGCCUAUGACAAGUGGAAGGACAGCUCAGAGGAGCUUUUGUCAUAAUGCUUUUGCAGUGGCCUUCUUCAGAUCCCAUCCUGUCUCUGCUGUCACCCAGUGAUGCACUGCCUCCCCCAAACCCAAAAGCUGUGACAGCCCAGGUGACCACGGAGAGGAAAUCCCUGGCCAGAACAGCCUCUGCUUCGCAAAGGGACAGCAAUAAAGGCAGACUUUUGCCCGGAGCACCGGACUUCUGAGGCUGGUCUGCACGGAUCUGACUGAGGUGGCAUUAACAUUCCUGCCGGAGAUGGAAUCUGCUCUUCUGAUUAGGACUUUGUGAACAUUACACACCCGCGCUCCAGCCGGGGAGAUUUCUAUCUGUGACUUUGCUUAUGAUCUGCUGUGCCCUCAACUCCGGGGAUGUAACAGCUGCAAUGUUUGACUGGACGUUCAGAAAAGAUAAACCUGCCGUCCGUGGGUUUACACACCCACUCACCUGCACACCCACACCACACUCUGUGAAGUCUCGCCUUUGUUUUCUUCCAGUGCAGUGUUAAAUGUGGGUGAAUGUUUCCCAAACCUGCCUGAUGGUGAAUUUGCCAGAAAACACAGAUUCUCAGGUCCCCUCCCAAUCUGAUUCAGCAGGUUGGAAGAGGGGUUGUAUUAAGAAGUUAUAGUUUUAACAAGACCACAGGAAAUUCCUAUGAUUGGAGGAGUAUGAUUGGAUAAAUUCAGCAGGGGUGGCCCAGUGCUUCUCAAACCACAGCAGGUGCCCGGAACAGCUGGGCGGCUUGUUAAAAACAGAGCUGACCUUCUUAUCUGGGCCUGAGAAGUUACAUUUCUGACACACUCCCAGGUGAUGCAGAUGCUGCUGGCGUGGAGACGACACUUUGAGAGCCACUGGUGGAGACAGACGUAAACUGCUCAGCCUCGGUUUCACCAUCUGUCACGUGGGGUUCAUCAAAAUUUCUACCUCCUGGGUGUCGUUAUGAGGAUUAACUGAGUUAAUACUUGUAAAGAACUUCCAGCAGUGUCUGGCACAUGGUAAAUUAGUAUUCCGUGUUUGUUAAAUAGACGAACUAAAAUGCCAGCCUAGGUUAUAGGUAACUUUUCAUUCAUACACUCAGUGAAUACAUAAUGAUACCACCCUGUGCUGGAACUGUCUUGUAAGUAGGGAGCACGCGGUGGUGCAGGAGGCAGAUAGAGUCCCUUCUCAUUCUGUGGUCAAGAACGGUGGAUUUUCUGGUUAUGGCUGAUGCGUUCUUCCAGCAUGUCAUUCUUGGAAGCCCAUGUAUCUCCCAAGACCUUAAAAGCCCAAUGAUAUGAUCAACAUCAAGACCCUGUCCUGCUGUGCUUGCACGCUGGACUUAGCCUUCAAGGCACCCAUCCUGAUUCUUAACCGCACAUCUGUUCGUGCAAUGGUUUCACAGCUGCUUCCUCGUGGAUGGCACGGUUGGUAAGGCCAGGCUCUAUCUCUGCGGCUCGUCCCUGCUGAGUCCCCAGCACAUCGUGCUGCGUCUGGCACAUCAUAGCUGCUCAAUGAAUUUGUUGAAUGAGUGGAUGGUGGUUGGAUGGACAGACAGAUGGACAGACAGACAGUUGGAGCCUGGUCACUCACCGGCCUCUCCCAGGUGACCAAGCAGUUUCCUGUCAGGCUUCCCACCUCCAUCCUUGGCCCCUUCAAUCCAUUUUCCCCACUGCAGCUGCAGAGAUGGUUCUAAAACCCAGGUCUGAUCCUCUUCCAUGGCUCUCUCUUUUAAUAAUUUUCUUCUAUGGACCACGUGUAAAUCAAACUCCAUAACUUAUACAUUAAUUCAUGUCUCCAUUUACAAGUAAUCAAAGUCAUGUGCCUGCCAAUCGAAUUGUUGGUUACCAGGA